rnacentral:rRNA from 1 species
GACGACCGCUGGCGGCGUGCUUAACACAUGCAAGUCGAACGAAGUGGCGAACGGGUGAGUAAUACGUGGGUAACCUGCCCUCCUUUUUGGGAUAAGCCUUGGAAACGGGGUCUAAUACCGAAUAAAGGGGGAUGGGCUCGCGGCCUAUCAGCUUGUUGGUGGGGUGAUGGCCUACCAAGGCGGUGACGGGUAGCCGACCUGAGAGGGAGACCGGCCACAUUGGGAGUGAAAUACGGGCCAGACUCCUAAGGAAGGAAACAGUAGGGAAUAUUGCACAAUGGGGGAAAGCCUGAUGCAGUGACGCCGCGUGGGGGAUGAAGGCUUUCGGGUUGUAAAGCUCUUUCGCUAACGAAAGGGUGGGUGGAGAAGAAGCGCCGGCUAACUACGUGCCAGCAGCCGCGGUAAUUC